AGCGAACGCUGGCGGCAGGCCUAACACAUGCAAGUCGAACGAAGUCUUCGGACUUAGUGGCGGACGGGUGAGUAACACGUGGGAACGUGCCUUUAGGUUCGGAAUAACUCAGGGAAACUUGUGCUAAUACCGAAUGUGCCCUUCGGGGGAAAGAUUUAUCGCCUUUAGAGCGGCCCGCGUCUGAUUAGCUAGAUGGUGGGGUAAAGGCUCACCAAGGCGACGAUCAGUAGAUGGUCUGAGAGGAUGAUCAGCCACAUUGGGACUGAGACACGGCCCGAAGUCCUACGGGAGGCAGCAGGGGGGAAGCUUGCUAAAUGGUCGAAAGCCUACCGCAGCCAGGCCGCGUGAAUGAUGAAGGUCUUAGGAUUGUAAAAUUCUUUCACCGGGGACGAUAAUGACGGUACCCGUAGAAGAAGCCCCGGCUAACUUCGUGCCAGCAGCCGCCGUAAUAC
rnacentral:rRNA from 1 species